GUGGAUUAGAUACCCGAGUAGUCCACGCUGUAAACGAUGAAUACUAAGUGUUGGGGAAACUCAGUGCUGCAGUUAACGCAAUAAGUAUUCCGCCUGGGGAGUAUGCACGCAAGUGUGAAACUCAAAGGAAUUGACGGGGACCCGCACAAGCGGUGGAUUAUGUGGUUUAAUUCGACGCAACGCGAAGAACCUUACCAAGCCUUGACAUCCCGAGCAAAUCUAUAGAGAUAUAGAGGAGGUUAUCUCGGUGACAGGUGGUGCAUGGUUGUCGUCAGCU
rnacentral:rRNA from 1 species